rnacentral:rRNA from 1 species
CCUACGGGAGGCAGCAGUGAGGAAUAUUGGUCAAUGGGCGUAAGCCUGAACCAGCCAAGUCGCGUGAGGGAUGAAGGCUCUAUGGAUUGUAAACCUCUUUUAUAAGGGAAUAAAGUGCGGGACGUGUCCCGUUUUGUAUGUACCUUAUGAAUAAGGAUCGGCUAACUCCGUGCCAGCAGCCGCGGUAAUACGGAGGAUCCGAGCGUUAUCCGGAUGUAUUGGGUUUAAAGGGGGCGUAGGCGGCCUUUUAAGUCAGGGGUGAAAGUCUGUGGCUCAACCCUAGACUUGCCGUUGAAACUGGGAGGCUUGAGUUUGUUUGAGGCAGGCGGAAUGCGUGGUGUAGCGGU